AAGAUGGCCACGGAGACAGCAGCGUGGUCAGAGUGGUAGGAGCCGGCCAUCAGCGAGAGCUGCUCCAUGCCUGGCUGCUGGGUGCUACAGCCUGUGGCCCACUGGCUUGCCUCACUGUGGUUGGUGGUGGCGGUGACAGAGACUGCAGCACGACCAAAGUGGCUUUUCUGGCUUUGCCCGCCCAGCUGCUCCAUGCCAGGAGGAGGAGGAGACACCUAGAGCCUGCGACACCACGGCUCGCCUCGCUGCGGGAGGGUGGCAUCAACGGAGACUGCAGUGCACCAGAGUGUUCUAGAGUGUAUGAAGAACCAAAUGAUGUAAUUGUAUGCGACCUGGCUGUAGUGGAACAAAUUUGACUCUAAAGUAUGCAGGCUCUAAUUUUCCUGUCUGGUUUUGUCUAGGGAGAUGACUCAUCAGAAAAAGAAGAAAAAAGAGGUAUUUGGAAAUUGUGCAAAUUAAAGCAGCCCCUGAUGCCAAAGUCUACACAUUC
rnacentral:lncRNA from 10 species